GCAUAACGCGAAGAACCUUACCUACUCUUGACAUCCAGAGAACUUAGCAGAGAUGCUUUGGUGCCUUCGGGAACUCUGAGACAGGUGCUGCAUGGCUGUCGUCAGCUCGUGUUGUGAAAUGUUGGGUUAAGUCCCGCAACGAGCGCAACCCUUAUCCUUUGUUGCCAGCGGUUCGGCCGGGAACUCAAAGGAGACUGCCAGUGAUAAACUGGAGGAAGGUGGGGAUGACGUCAAGUCAUCAUGGCCCUUACGAGUAGGGCUACACACGUGCUACAAUGGCGUAUACAAAGAGAAGCGACCUCGCGAGAGCAAGCGGACCUCAUAAAGUACGUCGUAGUCCGGAUUGGAGUCUGCAACUCGACUCCAUGAAGUCGGAAUCGCUAGUAAUCGUAGAUCAGAAUGCUACGGUGAAUACGUUCCCGGGUCUUGUACACACCG
rnacentral:rRNA from 1 species